UACGUAGGCAGCAAGCGUUGUUCGGAGUUACUGGGCGUAAAGGGUGCGUAGGCGGCUUUUUAAGUUUGGUGUGAAAUCUCCCGGCUCAACUGGGAGGGUGCGCCGAAUACUGAGAGGCUAGAGUGUGGGAGAGGAAAGUGGAAAUUCCUGGUGUAGCGGUGAAAUGCGUAGAUAUCAGGAGGAACACCGGUGGUGUAAACGGCUUUCUGGACCAUAACUGACGCUGAGGCACGAAAGCGUGGGUAGCAAACAGG
rnacentral:rRNA from 1 species